ACGUAGGGGGCGAGCGUUAUUCGGAAUUACUGGGUGUAAAGGGUAUGUAGGCGGCCCUUCAAGUCGCGUGUCAAAGUCUAGUGCUCAACGCUGGGUGUGCGCGCGAUACUGUGGGUCUUGAGUGCUGGUGAGGAGAGCGGAAUUCCCGGUGUAGUGGUGAAAUGCGUAGAGAUCAGGAGGAAUACCAGCGGCGCAGGCGGCUUUCUAGACCGUCACUGACGCUAAGCUGCGAAAGUGUGGGUAGCAAACAG
rnacentral:rRNA from 1 species